rnacentral:lncRNA from 1 species
GGAUGAAGGUGGAAAGUCACGGAUGAUGCUGCGGAUGAAGGUGGAAAGUCACGGAUGAUGCUGCGGAUGAGGGUGGAAAGUCACGGAUGAUGCUGCGGAUGAGGGUGGAAAGUCACGGAUGAUGCUGCGGAUGAGGGUGGAAAGUCACGGAUGAUGCUGCGGAUGAGGGUGGAAAGUCACGGAUGAUGCUGUGGAUGAGGGUGGAAAGUCACGGAUGAUGCUGUGGAUGCUGUCAGCUGUCCUCUGGUUUUGCAG